UACGUAGGGGGCUAGCGUUGUCCGGAUUUAUUGGGCGUAAAGAGCGUGUAGGCGGCCAUGUAGGUCCGGUGUGAAAACUCGAGGCUUAACCUCGAGAUGUCAUCGGAAACCAUUUGGCUAGAGUCCGGAAGAGGAGAGUGGAAUUCCUGGUGUAGCGGUGAAAUGCGCAGAUAUCAGGAAGAACACCCGUGGCGAAAGCGGCUCUCUGGGACGGUACUGACGCUGAGACGCGAAAGCGUGGGGAGCGAACAGG
rnacentral:rRNA from 1 species